rnacentral:lncRNA from 1 species
GUCAUCAUGGGUCCGGGUUCGAAUCCCUCCUGACAGGAACACUCAAAGCCACCAGGAACGUUUGAGCAUGUGCCGUUUCCACAGGGGUUUCCGAUCGAGCACUCGUCCGUAUCUGUCCAAUCAACCAUCAGACCAUCAGAAAGGAGUUGAUGGGCGGGCAGAGUUCGCAGGGGUUUCCCCAGGCUCCGCCCAGUGAGCAGCAGCAGGAGGCGCGGGUCACGCCCACCCCAAUCUCAGCACUGCAGGAGAUGCCUCCGUCGCCGCGGUCCAGCGUGUCCAGGAAGCAGUUCCCCACCCGCGUGUCUGACAGAGAACAGAGACAAGCCGCGUUAAGUUUACAGUGAUGGCGAUGAAUGUGGCAGACUGAAGCGGGACGGCUCCAUACCGACGCAGCCUACGCCCGACGGGUUGAGCUCGAAGUCUGGCGGACAGUUGCACAGGCAGAAGCUUCUGUGCUCAGCUGGUGACCCGGAGGACAGUCGCACUCAUAACUGCCCUCGGUGUUCAGACACGUCCCGCCGCGGCACAGCAGGGGGUUGCGCUCGCACUCGUCGAUGUCUGCGGGACAGAGAGAGAGACGCUGUGACACACAGGCUUUCAGAGGCCGGGAAGAACGUCCAGGGUUCGAGUCUCACCCAUGCAGUUCUUCAUCAUCAUGAAGCCGCUCUCGUAGCCGUCGAAGCACUCGCACUCGAAGCUGCCGGGCGUGUUGACGCAGACGCCGUGUCCACACAGGUCUGGAGAGAUGGUGCACUCGUCGAUAUCUGUGGGAGCGAGGGGAACAGCGUGAGCGUUCCUCUCCUCCAUGGUGAGGGCGAAGCCACUGUCGCAGCGGCAUUUGAAGCUUCCGAUGGUGUUUCGGCAUGUCCCGUGAGUGCACAGGCCUCUGAAGACCUUACAUUCGUUCACAUCUGCAGAGAAACACAGGCUCAUAACCUCAUUAUUCAACACAGAGAAAAAUCCCUAAAGAAAUACCACAAAUCUGACUUUCCGUGUCUGUGUUUUUGUAACCUUGUAAUACUUUGGAGAAAAAGUUUAAUGUAAAAAAAAAAAAAUUGUGGAUAUUUUAUAUACAUUUUGUCCGCUUGUAUAUAAUUUAUAUUAAAUUUGUUUUUAUUUAAAUUCGUAAAAAUAUUAAUAAUAUUUAUUU